rnacentral:tRNA from 2 species
GGCAGGGUAGCCAAGGUGGUCAAGGCGCGUGUCUGAAAAACAUGAGAUCUCAGUUCGACUCUGAGUCCUGCCA